rnacentral:lncRNA from 1 species
UAUGAAAAAGGAAAAACACCACAAAAACAGAAAAUUACAGACAUGUCCAGAUGAUACCAUGUGGAGGAGCAAAAACACAAGAAACUUCAAUCUACAAACAAGUGCCACACAAGUGCUAGAGAACACCCUAUACUACUUUGCAGCCACUGCCUCCCAACGCUCAACAGACGGCAACCAGGGAUCAUUCCCAUGCCUUCCCAGACACAGAUCCAGCCAUCCCCGCCGACAUCAUCGAAGGAAGCCACCAUACCGUCUCAACCUAUGCUCCUGAGGACCAGCAUGACGUUGCCUGCACAUAGACAAACAGUAAGACUAACUCAAAAGUAUGGGCUUAAGCAUGGGUUUUCAUCCUUACACAAAACUGUACCAAAGGUAAAGUGAACCAUGCAUGUCAGCUUCAAAUAAUGGUAUUUUUACUAUGACGACAAUGCAGCACAAGCUAGCAACCAAGAACAUUUUCAGGAUAACAUAACAUCAUGUUUGAAAUAUCAAACAACAAAAGGAAUGGAAGCACGGAAAUGGAUGAUAAAGAUCCUGGUAAGUAUAUUCUUUCCCUUUCUUAAUUUCACAACACACAUACGAUCGCAAUAAAGAGCAAAUCAAUUCCAUGGUUUGGUUCUACAUAUAGGUUGGUAAAAAAGGGCCAGUCAAUGCAAAAGGGUCCAGUUAGUUAGCUAGUCAUUCAUAAAGUACAAUCAUGUGAAAGAAGAAGAAGAAGAAGAAGAAGAAUAAGCGGUCUGCCAAUGAUGCAUAUAGUAUUAUAAGAUCUGAGAUGUUCAUGAAAACAACAUAAAAUGAUAAAAUUGGAUCUGAUUAAGACCAUAGUGAAAUCCAAUGAUGGACAAAAAGAAAAUCAAUCCUAAUAUAGCGAGUUCCCUAUUGAGUUGAGAUGAUUACAUAGAAAACAAUCAUGUAACCGCCAGCCAGAUCAAACAUUUAUCGAUAGGGAGAAAGUGGGAGCUUUGGUGCCGCUAUUGUACCUUGGAUGCGCAGCAUUGGAUGGCAAUCACGAGCACACAGCCACACCUGUACCCAGUUCCCUGGGACCUUGAGAACCUGUACCCAUUGUUGACCGNNN